GACGAACGCUGGCGGCGUGCUUAACACAUGCAAGUCGAACGGAAAGGCCCUGCUUUUGUGGGGUGCUCGAGUGGCGAACGGGUGAGUAACACGUGAGUAACCUGCCCUUGACUUUGGGAUAACUUCAGGAAACUGGGGCUAAUACCGGAUAGGAGCUCCUGCUGCAUGGUGGGGGUUGGAAAGUUUCGGCGGUUGGGGAUGGACUCGCGGCUUAUCAGCUUGUUGGUGGGGUAGUGGCUUACCAAGGCUUUGACGGGUAGCCGGCCUGAGAGGGUGACCGGCCACAUUGGGACUGAGAUACGGACCAGACUCCUACGGGAGGCAGCAGGGGGGAAUAUUGCACAAUGGGCGGAAGCCUGAGGCAGCAACGCCGCGUGCGGGAUGACGGCCUUCGGGUUGUAAACCGCUUUCGCAUGUGACGAAGCGGGAGUGACGGUAAUGGGUAAAGAAGCACCGGCUAACUACGUG
rnacentral:rRNA from 1 species